rnacentral:rRNA from 1 species
GAUCAUGGCUCAGGACGAACGCUGGCGGCGUGCUUAACACAUGCAAGUCGAACGAGAAUCUACGGAUCGAGGAUUCGUCCAAGUGAAGUAGAGGACAGUGGCGGACGGGUGAGUAACGCGUGAGGAACCUGCCUUUCAGAGGGGGACAACAGUUGGAAACGACUGCUAAUACCGCAUGACACAUUGGGGUCGCAUGGCCCUGAUGUCAAAGAUUUAUCGCUGAAAGAUGG